UGGGGAAUAUUGGACAAUGGGCGCAAGCCUGAUCCAGCCAUGCCGCGUGUGUGAAGAAGGCCUUUUGGUUGUAAAGCACUUUAAGCGAGGAGGAGGCUACUUGGAUUAAUACUCUAGGAUAGUGGACGUUACUCGCAGAAUAAGCACCGGCUAACUCUGUGCCAGCAGCCGCGGUAAUACAGAGGGUGCGAGCGUUAAUCGGAUUUACUGGGCGUAAAGCGUGCGUAGGCGGCUUCUUAAGUCGGAUGUGAAAUCCCUGAGCUUAACUUAGGAAUUACAUUCGAUACUGGGAAGCUAGAGUAUGGGAGAGGAUGGUAGAAUUCCAGGUGUAGCGGUGAAAUGCGUAGAGAUCUGGAGGAAUACCGAUGGCGAAGGCAGCCAUCUGGCCUAAUACUGACGCUGAGGUACGAAAGCAUGGGGAGCAAACAGG
rnacentral:rRNA from 1 species